rnacentral:rRNA from 1 species
CCGCCGGCGACCGGCGCACGGAUGAGUAACACGUAUGCAACCUGCCCCUGUCAGGGGGACAACCCGCCGAAAGGCGGGCUAAACCCGCGUACAUGCCACCGGGGCAUCCCGGAGGCAGGAAAGGCUUCGGCCGGACAGGGAUGGGCAUGCGGCGCAUUAGGCAGUAGGCGGGGUAACGGCCCACCUAACCGACGAUGCGUAGGGGUUCUGAGAGGAAGGUCCCCCACACUGGUACUGAGACACGGACCAGACUCCUACGGAAGGCAGCAG